ACAUCGACAGUUUCCAGAAUGAUGAAGCAGUUCGUAUACCUAGACAACGGAGGUUUGAUCACGACCUUACUUGAACAGGAUCUGUUCUAUAGGAUCGUACCUCUGUAUCCUUGAUUUCUAAGGAGACAGGAACCUCAACCUGGUGGAUGAAUCAUGACCGUGCGAUCAGAGCGUGAUUAAUAGCUUGUGGUUCCUCGCUUCCAUCAAGCGGCAGAUGAUCGUUCUCAGCCAGUUUCACUGUCUGGGGUGGUCGCACGGUUGUCUGACAGGAGCUGCCAACACCAGAAAGUGUUUUUCUGCAAAACCCCAAUUGGUGAAUCUGUAAGAUUGCUGUUUACUUUGCUCAUUUUCUUGUGGGUUUUCUCCAAGUGCUCAAAUUUUUGCUAUUUCUUGGCUCAAGUUUCAUACUUUGUUGAUGGUUUUUUAAUUUCAUGAAUUUGGUUUUCUUCUGGUUUGCUGUCUCAUAUCAUGUGAUUGCAAUUGGGGAACUUUUUCAUGUGGGUUUGCAUACCAAAUGAUGAAGCUGGUGAGGAAUGUUAAUUGGAAUUGGUUUGUUCAAUUCAGGCCUUUCUACAUAAGGGUUUGAAUUUCGGCAAUGAGAUGACGAAGGGUCAUUGUAAAAUCUUGGUUUUUUAUACUUGCAAUGACGAAGGGUCAUUGCAAUUGGCUCAUUGGUGUUCUUUUUUGUUGGAAUGUCAUGUGCCUUUUUGUAUUUGUUUGAUAGUUACCCGGUUUCGAAUUCCAGUAGUAGUUCCGUUGAUAAAUGUGAUGUUUUCUAAGGAAGUUGGAUUCGAGAUGAAAGUUACCCUUUGUACAAUGCUUCACAAUGUCCAUUUGCAGAAAUUGGAUUUAAUUGCUUUGCAAAUGGGCGUAAAGAUGGGGGUUAUGCAAGUGGAGGUGGAAGCCAAAGAAUUGUGAUAUUCCUAGAUUUGAUGUGCGUACGGUUGUUGAAAAACUUCGUGGAAAGCGAGUUGUUUUUGUUGGAGACUCGUUAAGUAGAACACAGUGGGAGUCUUUGAUAUGUUUACCAUGACUGGGGUGGAGGAUAAGAAUCAUGCUGCUUAUUGUGAAUAAAUGGUUUAAAGGCUUCUGCAUGUUAACACCUCUUCAGAAGGUCUAAUUUCCCAAUAGAGAGAGAAAAUCCCUUAGUACUGAUGUGGCCGAGGUCUUGGUUGAUGUUUGUUGAUGCAAACGCCAUGGCAGCUGUGAUUAUUGUAUUGCGGAGGAAACAUGCUUGUACGGGACUAGUAAAUUUCAACUUCCGAUAUUGUAACGCAUGUAGUUUGGCUAUUUAUGCUUAUGUUUUAGCUUAAAAAACUUUCACCAGUUGGGGAAAGGGGCCUGGAAUUGUAAUCAUACACAUAUCAGAUCAUAAAUAAUGACAGGUAGAAAGUGGAAUUGCCGGUUAUAUUAACAUCUGACUUUAGAUCUUCUUAGUUAAACUACUUACGAGUUGCUACCACCAAAAUAUUAUUGCCUUAGUACACAGUUUAGACCAAAAGAAAAUAUACAAUUCACAAAAGAAUUGUGCAGCCUGCAGUAGUGUUUUGCGGAUGGAUUCUCUUUCUCUCAUUCCACUUCGCCUUCUCACGUUCUUGUGAUUGUUUGUGUGAGUGGAUAUGUACUUGCACCUGCAACUUUUUUUUUCAACAUAUCAUCGACUUCACAAUCAGCUUUCGUGGAGUUUUCAGUGAUUAAACUUGAGAUGAAGUUGAGAAAGUGACUUCCAGAAAAGCAUAUUGAGAUCACUUCUAUAUUUUUGUUUAUUUUUUAUUUUCAACCAGAGACCCAAAAGUAUGCAAGUUUUAACAGUUUUUCAGACGGGGGCUGCAUUUUCAAGUGGGUAAAUCACUGAAGCUCGGAAUGCCAAUUACCGCUGGCUUCAGGACAGCUUUAAACACUUGGGCAUCUUGGGUUGAGACCUUGGUCAACACAAAUAGGACAAGUGUUUUCUUCAGGACUUUUGAGUCAUCGCAUUGGAGGCGUGUUUUAACUUGGGGAAAUUCUACGUGUGCCAGAAGUGUGGAUUUGCGGUUGUAGCAACUCCAAGGAAGAAUGCCUUGCUUAAUCACUUGUUUUGCUUACAUCUUUGAACACAACUUGCACAUGUCAUUUGAUUGUUGUAUACUUUUAUACUUGUGCAGAAGGGCCAAAUAGUACUCCCUAUAAAUAUACGGGAAAUAGUUGACUCAAUUUUAUGGUGUUAUCCAAGCCUCCUAGAUUAUAUGCAUUCAAGAGUGAGCACUGGAAUGAAAAAUUUUUUAUAUGAUGAUAAUACCAUGUGACACAUUGAAGUA